CAACAGUGGCAACACUGUACUUAACCCUAAAAUUAUUUAGUUUGGAUUGGUAGGUGGUCAAAAGAGUAUAACUAAAAGUCUUCAUAUUUUCAGUCAUCUUCCACUUGUCAAACUAUCUCACUCAAAAAUGGCAGAGACGAUUCUGUACAACAACAUCACAACCGAAAUCUUCAACAAGUUGGGUUCAGCGGCUCUCCGCGAGAUGGAUCUUGCUUGGGGUGUCGACGAUGAACCUCACAAACUGAGAGCCAUUGUUUCAACCAUCAGUGCCUUCAUUCUUGACGCGGAGGAGCAACAAUUGACCAACCACGAGAUCGCAGACGGCUUGCUCCAUGACUUCUCCAUCGAUGUUCUUUGCCGCAAAGUGAUGAUGGGUCAGAAUCAAUGGCCCAAGAUGGUACGCAUUUUUUUCUCCAGCUCAAAUCAGAUUGGUUUUAGUUCUAAAUUGGGUCAUCAAAUCAGUGUCAUUCGGAAAAAACUAGAUGUAGUUGGCGAAUAUAGGAAUAAAUUUCACUUAGAAGAAGUUAUUGGGAGAGAAAAUGAUAAGAUGGCAAUUUUGAGGGUUUUGUUAGAAAAUGUCCUCAAUUUUCAAGAAAAUGUUUGGAUUGUUUUGAUUGUUGGUAUUGGAGGAAUAGGAAAUGUUGCAACUUGCCCAACUAGUAUACAAUGAUGAGAAAGUCACUCAAUAUUCUACCAUGAAGGGGAAGAACCGAAAGUGGUUGGAGGAAAAAUCAUUCAAUCUGCAAGGUUGAAAAAAUAUUUGCUUGUUUUGGAUGAUGCAUGGAAUGAAGAUCGUGACGAGGGACUAAAUUUGAGAAAUCUGUUGAUGGGUGGUUCAAAAGGAAGUAAGAUUUUAGUAACUACCCACGCUAGACUAGUUGCAAGUAUGGCUGAAUUUGAGAAAUGGUGGUUCAAGAGGAAGUAAGAUUUUAGUAACUACCCACACUAGACUGGUUGCAAGUAUUAUAGGCACAAUGACACCAUAUCUUUUAAACAGCUUGUCGGAGAAUGAGUCCUGGCCUUUAUUGGUAUUCAAACAAGGGGAAGAACCAGAGAGUCCACAUCUAGUAGCAAUUGGGAAGGAAAUUGUAGGGAAGUGUGCUGGAGUUCCUGUUGUCUUAAAGGGCUCUUGGAAGCUUGUUAUUCUCUAAAGAUACGGAGCAAGAGUGGUUGGAUUUCAAAAAUGACGAUUUGCCAAAAAUAGCUCAGGAGGAGAAUGUUAUUAUUCCGAUACUAAAGUUGAGUUAGAUUACCUUACCUCUUAUCUAUAGCCAUGCUUUAAAGUUUGUUCCUUAUACCCAAAAGAUCACAUAAUUGAUAAACAAGAGUUGAUCUGUUUGUGGAUUGCUCAUGUGACGUCCCUAGAUAUUCGUCAUUUGAGAUUCCAAUCCCAUUGCUUAAGGCUAACAAACUAAGGAUAUUCUUUUUGCCAGAUCAUCUACUCUUACAUUGCCCUGUGGUGCACGAUUGCUAGAAUCUUAUCUUCGGAUUAUUCGACAUUUCUCUGGUGAUGCCCCGUCCACAAGGGGCAUGAUUAAAGCGUGGAGGGGAUGCUAUGUGGGGGGUCAUGCUUGCGAUUGUUGGAGGACCGUUCCACAUUGCGUAUGGUGGUGCAUAUGGAGAGAGAGGAAUAACAGAUUUUGUGAAGGAAAGGAGGUGUCUACGGCGACUUUGAAACUUCAUAUCAUUUGCUCCAUUUUUCAGUUGGGUGAAGGGGAUACACUACUCUUCCUUCUGAUGAUGUUGUCGAUUUCUUGGACCCAUUGGGUCCAUAGGUUCCUGUUUUGUUUUUGUACAUGGGAUGCGUUCCCCUUUUGAACGCUUUUUUAAUGAAUUAUUACUUAUUAAAAAAAAAGGAUAUUCUUUUUGCCUUCUCAAGGUUGACUUAAGAAUCUACACGUCUCAGUUCCAACGUUAAUAAGAUCACCAAUUUCUAAAAUGUUACGUAUGCUAGAUUUGCAUCACUUUGGGAUCACGACUUUACCGAGUUGCAUAAGUAAACCAAAACAAUUAAGGUAUCUCGAUCUUUCUAAAAAUAUUGAAAUCAAGACUUUGUCAAGUUCCAUUACCAAGUUGCAAAAUUUGCAGACACUAAAACUCAAUCGUUGUAGUCAGCUCAUAGAAUUGCCAAGGGAAAUAAGAGACAUGGUCAGCCUUAGGCAUCUUGAGCUUGAUGGAUGUAAUGAUUUGACUUGUAUGCCAUGUGGACUGGGUGAAUUGACUUCUCUUCGGACUUUAACAGUGCUCGAACUGGGUUCAGAACCUGAUGGUAUAUUUCUGGUCAAUGUAGGGUUGAGUGAACUUAAAGGCCUAAACAAUCUAAGGGGAAGAUUACAGAUUUUCUCUUUGGGACCAGAGGGUUUAAAAUGUGCAACAACAGAACUAACUCAAGAAGAAAACUACCUGAAGGGGAUAGUCUACCUCGUCUCAUUACAAUUAUAUUGGUCUGAUGGCAGCGAUCUAAAUAGCUAUGCUUUCAAUGAGUACAGUUAGGAUUGCGAGUUAGUGUUUGAAGGUAUCCAGCCAAACCCAAAUCUGAAAAGGCUGUUUAUUGGUGAGUACCAUGGUGUAAAGUGUCCAAGUUGGAUGACGGUUCACAUUGGUUUAUCCCUCCCAAAUCUUGUCAAACUGCUUUGAAAUUGUCACAUGUGCAAAUAUCUUCCACAGUUUGGCCAGCUUCAUUCUCUCCAAGUUCUUCAACUUAUUUUCUUGUCUUUCCUGGGGUACAUAGACAAUGGCGCCAGCAGCAGUGGUGGUGUUGACAUGUCCCUCUGUUCUUUUUCCUAUUCAUCAAGCGAAACAUUCUUCCCAUCCCUGAAGUAGCUUGAACUCUGUCAAUUGCCUAGUCUGAAGGGAUGGUGAGAACCAACAACUAUGACAACAGUGGCAGACCAGCAGCAGCAACAUCUUUUUUCACUGCCGAUGCUGCCAUCAUUUCCUCGUCUAUCUACAUUAAUCAUCAAUGUUUGUGAGGAGCUGACAUCAAUGCCCGUAAGUCCCCAUGUUGAAGAACUCAAACUCAGAUGGGUCAUUGGGAAGCUACUUAAUCAGCUAAUGAUGAUGUCAACCACAACAAUCCCUAUGAUAACAACAGUAAAAACACUGUCCUCAUCACCUACUUCAUUUGUUCCUUUUUCUAAAUUAAAGAUUCUGUGCAUUGAGGACAUUGAGGAUCUGGUUACUCUCCUGGAGGAACCAUUUCAAAACCUCACUUCUCUCCAGUAUCCUAAAAUUUUUGGUUGUAGUAGCCUAAUUUCUCUGUCAAGAUGUAUGCAACAUCUCACUGCCCUCAAGAAGCUGCAGCCCUUGGGUUGCUAUGAUUUGUCAAGUGAUGAUGAUGGCACGCAAUUUCAAGUCCUUAGGAACCCAUCUUCUCUCACAAUCAAGUUCAAUUCAAAAGUUGGUCUCUCUUCUCAGAGGGCUUCAACAUUUUACCACCUUACAGUACCUAGAGAUUGGUUGAUGUGAUUUGAAGUGUUUACCAGAGUGGAUAUGCAACCUCACAUCACUUCAAAAAGUUGUCAUUUCCAAAUGCUUUUCAUUAACAUCACUGCCUGAAGGUGUGACAUGCUCAACUCACUACGUUACAAGAACUGCGUAUUAGCUGUUGUCCUGAACUGUUACAUCAUUGAGGCCAUAAGGCGGUAGAGUUCUCUCAUUCCAGAUGUCCACGUGUCUUAAUUAUGCCGAUAUUGAAGUACUCAGUGGAUAAAAUAUAUUCACAACUCAUACUGCAACUAUCACCAAUAAGCAGCAGGGAAAUGUUGAAUCAGUUUCUGCAUGUGUUUUGGAGUAGCUUGGAUGAAUCAUCAAUGGUUUCUUCAUUUGAUCGGCAACAUUCAUAGAGAGAGAGAUAAGAGAGAAGUAAUAAAUUGAAAGAAAGAAACGGAAGAUACCCCAAGAUCUUUCCAUUGGUGAGAACCAAAGGAGCUAUGUAUUGGCAGGCAUAUGCAGAUAGAAAGAGAGAAUCUCAUCCUCUCCACCGACAAAUCUAAGACUCUUCCUAUCUAUCUACUUCAGAAGCUUUUCCACAUGGCUGAGUAUAUACCACAACCUUAUUUUCGGGAUGGUUCUUGUUGUGGCCAUGGCGGCCGUGGUUUUUGUGGUAGUUCCCAUGAUGGUGGCUGUCCUAGUGGACGUGGUGAUAAGAAGUGUAAGCAUUGUGUUGGUUCAAAUCAUACUAAACCUUCUUGUUGGGAAAAUUGUGGCAAGCCAAAUGUUGUACUUCAGGCUGUCGAUCGUAUCAGUUCUAGACAUAUAGCUUCCAUUUCUGAUUCUCAAGAUGCACUCAUUACUCAACUUAGAGUGCUUAUUUAGAAAUUGUGUGUAUCUGUUUAUUUCCUCUCAGAGGAUUGCUGGUUGCAGAACUAAUUAAGAAGGCCUACAAGAUGCUCUCAAGCUUGGUGGAUGGAAGAGCCCUUUGCGCCCAUCCUUUCAAUUGUUCUAGCUGCCCUCUCCUUACUUCUAGCCUACUUGCUGCUAGGUUACUUGCUCACGCUCGACUCAGAUUGUACUGGCACAAAGGAAAAAGAUCAAAUUUAGCCAUAGUCCUGAGUGAGAUAAGAAAACCUCUUUUAUCCGUAGUCUUGAGUUGUUGGAUGGGAACCUGGAUGGAGCAAUGUUAUGUGAAAAGGAUGGGAACCUCUUAUUUCAAUUAAUGUGGGUGUAUUAAUACAUGACGAAUUUGGAUGUAAAAUUUACUUUGAAUUUGAAUACUAUGAAUGAAGCUUUUGGUGGUUAUGAAA